GCCCUAUGGAUGGACUGGAUUCAGCUCUCUGCAACCCAGGUUACAUCCCUUGUGACUGUAAACCUGUUUCUGGAUGUAAAGCUGAUGCAUUAGGUGAGAAAAGUAUUUGUCUAACAUUUUCAGAGAGUAAAAUCAUAGUGUUCAGGCUAGGAAGGCCCUAGGAACAUGGGAGCCACAGCAUCUACUACUUUUGGGGAGGUUUGGGGCUGGAGAAGGAAGCAGGUUAGUAGCAGGGCAUUGUGGCACUCUAGGUUUCAGGAGAGAAUCCAUCUGUGGUACGUGUAUGCAGGGCAGACAGCAGGUCAGUUCUACCUAAAGGGGAGUUGGGGGACAGAUUUAACAGAGGAGGUGAGGCUUGGAGGGAAAACCUUGAGUGUGACAACCCUCACCACAUAGCAUCCUCUCCCAUGGGAAGUGAGCCUUUCAGGAGAGGAGGGCCCUUUGAGCUGAGCUCAGAACCACCUACAUUCCAUUUUGUCUAGCUCUUUGUAUCAUCAGUUUUCCAUGCUGGAGAGCUGGAAACAAAAGAAGUGCAGACUAUUUGUUUUAAUGCCCUUUUUUCCAAGUCAUAUUGAAUGUCCUUAUGCCUCCUACAUGGUGGAUUGAGGUUGACUCAGGGCUAUAGGCUGGGCAGAGGGAAGCAGACAUCCCUGGCGCAGCCUGUACACCACCGCUUUAGCUGCCCUCACCUAAGCCUUUUGACUUAGUCUCCUAAUCCUUAUUUAAUCUGGAAUCCACAGGUGGCACAGGGGUAUGAUUCCUAGAUGCUGUGACUCUCCAGCCCCUUCUCCUUUCCCACUACUGCUGCCUGUGUCCUCAGAUGCCUGGACUGCUCCAACAGGCUUUCUCUUUAGAGACCUCCACAAUCUGCUGAAUGCACAGCUGUGUUUAAGUCCCUUUUUCAUUUAAACCCCCCUCAGUGGUUCCCUAUUGUCUUUCCCAUCAAAGGAAGACAAAUUCCUGAACCUGACAUUCAGAAUCAGCUCUAACAGCUUCCCUACCCUUCUUUCCAAAACAUCUGCUCAUCUUCAACUCUAGUGAGCGCUUUGUUGUAGCAAGUGAUUCCUCAGUCUGCAUCUUUGUGGAGAUUUCCUCUAGGGGAAGAACCUGAAUGGGGCAAGGUAGAAAACCUGCUUUUUCUCCUAGCUCAAAUACUAACUCCAUGUAUUCCUAGUCAAACCACUUAACCUCUCUGGGCUCAGUUUCCUCAUCUGAGAAAAACAGGACUUUGGACAAGAGCAGGAAUCUGGGGCCUAUUUGUUGAAUGCAGUUAUAUGCACUGUAUCUCAUCACUGUGGCUUAUUUAUUAUGGGUGCGGUAUAGGUACACUGAGCUCUUUAAGCAUUUUCUCAUUUCACGUAUGUGGUAGUCAGCCUUCAAGAUGGUUCCAGUGAUCCUUGCCUCCUGGUAUUCACCUUUGUGAAUCCCCUCUCACGUUAAAUCAGAGAUAACCCGCAACCCAAAGAGUACUUACAGAUGUGGUGUGUGAUUUUUAUGGCAAGGUCAUAAAAGGCAUUGUCAACUUCCUCCUUGGCCCCUUGAAUUGCCCCUUCUGGGAGAAGCCAGACACCAUGCUGUGAGGACACUCAAGCAGCAAUGUGGAGGCAGCUAUGGAGAGAAAACCUUUCACCAACAGCCAGCACCAACUUGCCAGUCCUUUGUUAACAGCCAGCUUGGAAGCAAAUCCUACAGCCCUAGUUAGGCCUUCAUGUAACUGCAGCCUCACCAAAGACCCAGAGCUAGAAACACUAGCUUAACUGCCCCCAAAUUUCAGAUCCAAAGAAAUUAUGGGAUAAUAAGUUAUUGUUGUUGUAAGUCCCUAAGUCUUGGAGUAAUUUGCUUCACAGCAACAGAUAACUAAUACCAUGGGUACUUUAUUAUCUCUGACAGAUGAGAAAAGUGAGGCUCAGAGCAGUUUAAUAGCCCAUCUGAGGUUGUGAACGCAUGAGUUACAGGUUAGGGAUGCAAAUUCAGGUCUUCCUGACUUCUAACCCAUCAUGUUAUAUACCUCAUGUUGUAGUGUCCCCCUGCCAGGUUCAGAGGAGAUUUCUGAACUGGAGGAUUGAAUUGAGAUUGGAGACUUCCUGGAAUAAAUAGAAGAACAGCUACUAAAGGGUAAUAUGAUACAUUUAUUAUUCUGCGAGGCUCCUCUGCAUACUAUUCUAACAAACUCUUUGGGUGAGUAAGAAACCAAAGCUAGUCUUUAUAACACUGGGACUCACAGAUGGGGGAUGGGAAAAGUGCUGUGUACAUAGAAAAAAGUAUUUAAUUUUUUGAUUGGCUUUAAAUUGUAUUACAGCUGAGAAUGGGAGAAGCACCUAUGGUUAAUUUAACAGAUCCAUUAGUGAAAGGACCUUUAGAAAUCUGUCAAAACUUUUCAUUAUAUAAAAAGGGAAAUUUCUCAAAUGGGAUAAAUGACUUGCUUGAACUCAAAUCAUAAGAGCCAAGUAUCACUUGUUCAUCAUCUUGUGGCCAAACAAUUUUAUGCAGGUUGUUCUGAAUCACAGUUACUAUCCUUGGACUGUUUGUUAAUGGUUGUUACUGACUAUUAAUGGUCUGUGAUAUUUACCUUCCAAGGGACUAACAUUUUAACAUGUAAAAGAACCUUGUACCAUAGGAAGAAGAAAGUUUAGAGGGUAAAAUCCACCCUAAGGCCACCAAGUAAACUCAAUGUGCAGGGGCUCUUAACCUAAGGUCCUUACAAGGGCUUUAACCUGCCGGGCAUGGUGGCUCAUGCCUGUAAUCCCAGCACUUUGGGAGGUCAAGGUGGGCAGAUCACCUGAGAUCAGGUGUUUGAGACCAACCUGGCCAACAUGGUGAAACCCUGUCUCUGCUAAAAA